UACAGAAAAGGCCCUGACACUCUUGAACCUCAUUUGAGAAUGUGGAAUAGCUAAGAGCAGCUGGUUAGAGGAUGGUAGAGUGGAGUGAACACAGAGAAGUAUUUCACCACAGCAGGGUUCUACCAGGAACUGAAACAUAACCUCCACUUCCUCGUGUGAUAUUUCAGUGUUGCAACAUUGGAUGGACACAGAAUAAGAAUUGCCUCCGUCAAUGAUGAUGUCUCCAGGCUGAAGAAGAGGCACCUGUUCGGCAGUAGUAUGAUAAUUCAUCACCACUGCAUUCGACCAUCUUAAAGUCAACCAAGCAUCGAUCAGAACAGUGAUGAACCAAAUCUCCUUCAG